UUUAAUUUUGAAGGAAUAUUUGGUACUUGUGAGAACACUGUGAAACGAUAACAAAAAAGAAGGGCAAAAAAGUGUAUUUUACACCAUAAUCAAAUUUAUUGCAACCAUAUUUGAUAUUUCCAACAGAAAACAAACGGCAUCAAAAUCUUUCAGCAAAACGAGUACCGAAAUCGAACUGAUGAAGAUCACGGAAAUCGGAACUGAAGAAAAUCUCUGAAAUCGAAUGGAAAUUGAAGCGCGAUCGAACUAAAUUGCUAACGAAAUCGAAUUGAAAUCUCGAAUCUAGAGAGUGAAGGCAGAAAUCAAAUGAGCGAUUGAUUUAGGGUUCAUUGAUUUUGGUAUUUUUCCCAUUCUCAAUAUCUAUUUAGGGGAUUUGUAGAAGAAAAGGUGGUGGCGAGAAAUAGUUCAAACGGUGGAAAUGCAAGAUCAACAGCAGAUAAGCUUUCAAAAAUAUCAAGAUUGAAUUUUUUUAAACUUACAGUGAAUUUUUUACAUGCACAGGAACAUAAUAUGCUUACCUUUUUCCAUCAUUGGAGUCUGAUAAACUUUGAGGAAGGAUGAGAGUCAGAUGAAGUUACAACAAAAUUAGAAAAAUCACAAGUUCCAGAAUAAUGUUGCUACCCGUAAGUUCAUGGCAUAUAUAAAAGAACGAUGACAAAGAACUGAUGAGAAAGUAUGAUUCAUUCUCAAAUUUCCCCAAGGAGUGCAUAUAUAACAGGAACAUUUGCAUCAGGCUACAAUAUAUGAUCAUAAUAUUUUGGGAGUGAAACAGGAGCUUAUUAUUCAUCAUGAAUGGAGAGCACUACAAGGGUAAAUGGCCCUUUCUGGAUUAGUCCUCGUCAAGCAAUUUUGUGCCCCGUGUCCGAGAAAUCACAAGCUUAUGCGCUGCAGUAAUACAAAGCAGAAUUUAUACAGACUAGGAGAUUAAGGCUGGGCGCUGAUCUAGCCUAGGAAUUAGGGAAGUUAUUCUCCUCAUAAUUGCUAAUUCUAAUAAGAUAGGAAAGGCUAGGAAUUAGCUAAUACUAAUCUAUAUUUAAUGGACAUAAAGCUGUCAUAAAACUGUACAAAACAGAAUCUGUUGAUUCUCCUUAAUUAGCGCCAAUCUUCAACAACUUUUAUUCUCCUUUGAGGGUAUAUUUUGUGGCAUCAUCCUAUGUCAUUUUUCAUGCUUUUCAAAUUGCAGAUUACUCCAUGUAGUUGAUGCAACUGCUUAGGUUGUGCGCAUAGUAAAUUGUUUAAUCAGUUUAUAUAUUUUGAGUUGGCUAAAUGUGUUUUUUUCAUGUUUUUUUGUAAGUGUUACGUAAACUUAAAGUCUUAUUUAUUCUGAACUAAAAUACUAUUCUCUCUCUAGUGUCUAAUUUUUUUCAUGAAAAAUAGGAUAUAUUUUUCUUGUAAAAAAAGAAUAUAUACUUUUUUACUAUAAAAGAAAUGAAAAAAUAAGAUAAACAAGAAUGCAUAAUCACAUCCCAAACAUCAAAAGUAAAAAUACUCGAACAAAAAUUAAAAGAAAAGAAAAAAGAAAAACCAUGCGAUGCGUUUAAGCUUCAAAGAGAGGCGUGUGAGUCUGUGACCACGUUGCUUCCUGUUUUGUCUUCUUCAGUUGUUAGGGUUUGCUUCAGACUCCCCGAAAUUUCGCUCAAUUUCGUUAGAUUUUGUUGAAGAUGACACAAGAUCUUGAGAUGAAAGAUGUUCAACUCCUUCAAACUCUGUUUCUCCACUUAUUCCAUCUACUUUACAGCAUUCGAAGGAGAUAACAUCACUUAUCGAGACUGGUUCAUACUCGAAGGAAGUUCGUUGAAUUGCUCGUGCUGUUCGUCUUACAAGCAUUGAGAAAGAAAUUGACAGCUUCUGUUAUCUCAUCUUUUCUCGAUCAUGUUCUCACUCCUGGUACUGAGCCGCAUAACAAAUUGUCUGCGUAUCUUCCCAAGGAGGAGGAUCAUGAGAUGGAGGUAGAUGCUGCAACUUCCGCCAUUCAAACCCAUGUAGCUAAACAUUUGUUGCCUGAGCUAGAAAUCUACUGUCACCUGCUUGUGCUACUUUUUCUGAUUGAUCAGAAAAAAUACAAUGAGGCCAAAGCUUGUUCCUCAGCUAGUGUUGCUUGGCUGAAGAACGUCAAUAGAAGAACUGUUGAUGUGAUUGCAUCUAGACUGGUUUUUUACUAUUCAUAUAGCCAUGAACUUACUGGGGAUCUCGCUGAAAUUUGUGGGAGUUAUGUGCUUAUCUAUAAUGAAUAACUCAAGGAGGUGUAAAACUGAAUUAUUUCCAUGUAACUUGUUUUAAUAUUAGUGACUGGCUCAAGGUCAAGGCUUCCCUUGUUAGCCUUCAAGAGUACAAGAAAAUGAGGGAAGUUAGUUGAUCAAAAGCACGUGGUGCCUUGUGAUACCUUUAACUAGACAGCGUAAGAAGCAUGGCGCGGGGUGCCAUAUUGAAGUGAUUGCAUGAUUUCCUCACGCUUCGUUUACUAGUGCCUAGUGCCUAGUGGGGUUUCAAAAUACAAAUGCUACAAACUGAAUGAAAUUGAGAAUGUUUUUGGUGCAGUUGUGAGCCCCGUCGAAACAGUGCAUGUCAACUAGCUGAAUCAUAUUAAAUUAAUGAAAAUCUCAAACUCUUGUUUCUGGGAAACCAUUCUUUAGGAUUUUAUUUUCAAUUGAUUUGUUGUUGUAUUUUAUUAUCAUUAUUCAAAACUUGAAUCUUUUGAACAAUUCUAGUAAUAGAUGAUGGCCUUUUGGUAA